AACAUGCCCUUUGGUCUGGAAUAACUCAGGGAAACUUGAGCUAAUACCGGAUAAGCCCGAGAGGGGAAAGAUUUAUCGCCGAAGGAUUGGCCCGCGUCCGAUUAGCUAGUUGGUGAGGUAAUGGCUCACCAAGGCGACGAUCGGUAGCUGGUCUGAGAGGAUGAUCAGCCACAUUGGGACUGAGACACGGCCCAUACUCCUACGGGAGGCAGCAGUGGGGAAUAUUGGACAAUGGGCGCAAGCCUGAUCCAGCCAUGCCGCGUGAGUGAUGAAGGCCCUAGGGUUGUAAAGCUCUUUCGCCAGGGACGAUAAUGACGGUACCUGGAUAAGAAGCCCCGGCUAACUUCGUGCCAGCAGCCGCGGUAAUACGAAGGGGGCUAGCGUUGUUCGGAAUCACUGGGCGUAAAGCGCACGUAGGCGGAUCUUUAAGUCAGAGGUGAAAUCCCAGGGCUCAACCUGGAACUGCCUUUGAUACUGGGGAUCUCGAGUCCGGGAGAGGUGAGUGGAACUGCGACUGUAGAGGUGAACUUCGUAGAUAUUCGCAAGAACACCAGUGCGAAGCGGCUCACUGG
rnacentral:rRNA from 1 species